GGUCCCAUUUUAGCACCUUCCAUUUACUUGCAUUGAAUGGGUGGCUAUGCUAAUGGGCUAUAGAAACACUGUCAUGGUCUGAAGGUGUGGCUAUUUCUGUGAACCAUGCUAAAUAAUAUGACAGGACAUAUCAAC
ensembl:snoRNA Small nucleolar RNA SNORA29